rnacentral:rRNA from 1 species
UACGGAGGGGGCUAGCGUUGUUCGGAAUUACUGGGCGUAAAGCGCACGUAGGCGGCUGCUCACGUCGGGUGUGAAAGCUCAGGGCUCAACCCUGAGAUGCCAUUCGAUACGGGUCGGCUAGAGGUAGGUAGGGGAGAGUGGAAUUGCUGGUGUAGCGGUGAAAUGCGCAGAUAUCAGGAGGAACACCGGUGGCGAAGGCGGCUCUCUGGGCCUUACCUGACGCUGAGGCGCGAAAGCUGGGGGAGCGAACAGG